UACGUAGGGGCUAGCGUUAUCCGGAAUUACUGGGCGUAAAGGGUGCAUAGGUGGUUUCUUAAGUCAGAGGUGAAAGGCUACGGAUCAACCGUAGUAAGCCUUUGAAACUGGGAAACUUGAGUGCAGGAGAGGAGAGUGGAAUUCCUAGUGUAGCGGUGAAAUGCGUAGAUAUUAGGAGGAACACCAGUUGCGAAGGCGGCUCUCUGGACUGUAACUGACACUGAGGCACGAAAGCGUGGGGAGCAAACAGGAUUAGAUACCCCGGUAGUCCCUGAG
rnacentral:rRNA from 1 species